rnacentral:rRNA from 1 species
GACGAGCGCUGGCGGCGUGCUUAACACAUGCAAGUCGAACGGUGACCUGGGGUGCUUGCACCUUGGUGAUCAGUGGCGAACGGGUGAGUAACACGUGAGUAACCUGCCCCUGACUCUGGAAUAACCCCGGGAAUCCGGGGCUAAUACCGGAUAUGACACCAAUCCGCAUGGGUAUGGUGUGGAAAGUUUUUCGGUUGGGGAUGGACUCGCGGCCUAUCAGCUUGUUGGUGAGGUAGUGGCUCACCAAGGCGACGACGGGUAGCCGGCCUGAGAGGGCGACCGGCCACACUGGGACUGAGACACGGCCCAGACUCCUACGGGAGGCAGCAGUGGGGAAUAUUGCACAAUGGGCGAAAGCCUGAUGCAGCGACGCCGCGUGAGGGAUGACGGCCUUCGGGUUGUAAACCUCUUUCAGCAGGGAAGAAGCGAAAGUGACGGUACCUGCAGAAGAAGCACCGGCUAACUACGUGCCAGCCGCCGCAGUAA